CUUCUUUGCUGGCGACCGGCGCACGGUGAGUAACACGUAUCCAACCUGCCCUUUACUCGGGGAUAGCCUUUCGAAAGAAAGAUUAAUACCCGAUAGUAUAAUGAUUCCGCAUGGUUUCAUUAUUAAAGGAUUCCGGUAAAGGAUGGGGAUGCGUUCCAUUAGGUUGUUGGUGAGGUAACGGCUCACCAAGCCUUCGAUGGAUAGGGGUUCUGAGAGGAAGGUCCCCCACAUUGGAACUGAGACACGGUCCAA
rnacentral:rRNA from 1 species